ensembl:lncRNA
CUCUCGCACGGGCGGGCACAGCCGCUUCCCGCCGCGGGAAGAAGGGCGGGUGGUUUCUGGCCGGGCGGCAGCCACGCUGCCCUGUGGACCGGGGACUCCCAGUCGGCACAGAGGGUUCCGCCUACCCAGUGUAAGGGGGGAUUUUUGUGAGGCAAGCUGGUCGCCGAGACUGAAGUUAAAAGAGCUGCUAAAUCAUUCAUCUCUUCCGCCGUCAGGACCCGUCAGAUAGGUCCAAAGUCUGCCCUUGUGUCCAACGGCGGGGGAUACGUUGGUGCACACGUCCCAGCAGUGGGUGAAAAGUUAUUUAAAAGUACCUCUGACCGAUGCCAGAUAAAACCCUUCCUACACCCUGAAAAUCACACUGCUACAAUGUAGUGCUUGGUGUAGUAUAGCCCUGGCACCCCAAAUAGGUGCCUCUAAGUACCGCCUCCACCCGUGUGGAGCUCAGCCAUGGUGAAGAAGCGGUGCUGGAAAAGGGGCACACCAGAAGAAGCAGAAAAAAAAACUGACUUCUGCCAUUCCUGUUCAACUGCAGACCUCGCUGUUGUGUUGUACUUUCAUACCUGGGACAUCUCUUUGGAGCCGUUUAAACUCCUGGAUGUUUUAUGCCCACACUGAAAAUGCUGGAUACCUGUAUUUAUGAUGUGUGAUCUGAAACCUUACACCCCUUUUGUGUUUGGGAUUUCUGAGCAUGGUCUGUUCCUUGGCUUUUCUUUCUCACAAGACAGUGCAUUUCUCGAGUAAAAGUACUCAGCGAAAAGGGAAACACGCUGAAUUUAUUGUGCCUGUGAUAUAUUUCAUUUCUACUAUUAUUAAGGGUACACUUUAAGAGCACGAUGUGGUACUGGAAGGAUGAAAGUAGAAAGUUCCAUUUCAGUGGCUGAAGUGGGCAUGUUGUUAAAGCAGUACUUGUGUAGGUAGAGCCACAGCAAGGCAGAAAAGAGCAACUAUGAUGAGUCUAAGACAGUCCUUGGUUCUUUCUGAUUUCCAUCCAAUUCUUAAUCAUCCAGCGUCUUACAUUUGAUAAACAAAUACUUUCGACAACAACACUGAAAACUGAUUUUUUUUCUUUUUUUUCUUUUUUUUUUUUUUUCAUAAAGGUAUGCAGGCCAGCACAAUGCAGUUCAGUGCUCUUUAAGAACUGGAAGUGUUACAAUAUUCUGUGGUACUUGGAUGCCCAAGGGAAAGAGAUUUUUAUUAUCAUUGGUCACAGGACUGCCAAAUGUUAUCUCAUAAAUCUGUGUCUUUCACAAUGAAUGAGUGAUCUGCCAUUCUUCUUCAAAAAGAAGAGACUUCACUAAAUCAUCAGCAAACUUCAAG